rnacentral:rRNA from 1 species
UACGGGGGGAGCAAGCGUUGUUCGGAUUUACUGGGCGUAAAGGGCGCGUAGGCGGCCGAUCAAGUCAGGCGUGAAAUUCCCGGGCUCAACCUGGGGGCUGCGCUUGAUACUGAUUGGCUUGAAUGCGGGAGAGGAUAGUGGAAUUCCCAGUGUAGAGGUGAAAUUCGUAGAUAUUGGGAAGAACACCGGUGGCGAAGGCGGCUAUCUGGCCCGUAAUUGACGCUGAGGCGCGGAAAAGCGUGGGGGAGCAAACAGGGAUU